UCGGACGGGUUGGUAACGCGUGAGAAUCUGCCUUCAGGACGGGGACAACAGUUGGAAACGACUGCUAAUACCCGAUGAGCCGAGAGGUAAAAAGGUGAAUUCCGCCUGGAGAGGAGCUCGCGUCCGAUUAGCUAGUUGGUGGGGUAAAAGCUUACCAAGGCGACGAUCGGUAGCUGGUCUGAGAGGAUGAGCAGCCACACUGGAACUGAGACACGGUCCAGACUCCUACGGGAGGCAGCAGUGGGGAAUUUUCCGCAAUGGGCGAAAGCCUGACGGAGCAACGCCGCGUGGGGGAAGAAGGUUUUUGGAUUGUAAACCCCUUUUCUCAGGGAAGAAGAUCUGACGGUACCUGAGGAAUCAGCCUCGGCUAACUCCGUGCCAGCAGCCGCGGUAAUACGGAGGAGGCAAGCGUUAUCCGGAAUCAUUGGGCGUAAAGCGUUCGUAGGCGGCUGUUCAAGUCUGCUGUCAAAGACCGAGGCUCAACCUCGGGUCGGCAGUGGAAACUGGAUAGCUAGAGGUCGGUAGGGGCAAAGGGAAUUCCCAGUGUAGCGGUGAAAUGCGUAGAUAUUGGGAAGAACACCGGUGGCGAAAGCGCUUGCUGACC
rnacentral:rRNA from 1 species